UACGUAGGGUGCGAGCGUUGUCCGGAAUUAUUGGGCGUAAAGGGCUCGUAGGCGGUCUGUCGCGUCGGGGAGUGAAAACUCAGGGCUUAACCCUGAGCCUGCUUCCGAUACGGGCAGACUAGAGGUAUGCAGGGGAGAACGGAAUUCCUGGUGUAGCGGUGGAAUGCGCAGAUAUCAGGAGGAACACCGGUGGCGAAGACGGUUCUCUGGGCAUUACCUGACGCUGAGGAGCGAAAGUGUGGGGAGCGAACAGG
rnacentral:rRNA from 1 species